UACGGGGGGGGCAAGCGUUGUUCGGAAUUACUGGGCGUAAAGGGUUCGUAGGUGGCCUGCUAAGUCGGACGUGAAAUCCCUCGGCUCAACCGGGGAACUGCGUCCGAUACUGGUGGGCUCGAGUGCAGGAGAGGAACGCGGAAUUCCAGGUGUAGCGGUGAAAUGCGUAGAUAUUGGGAGGAACACCAGUGGCGAAGGCGGCUCACUGGACCGGAACUGACGCUGAGGCGCGAAAGCGUGGGGAGCAAACGGG
rnacentral:rRNA from 1 species